rnacentral:lncRNA from 10 species
UCCCCGACCAGAGGACCUCAGACACAGCCAAAAACAAUCCAUUGAUACACUUGGUGACAUUAAUUGAGAAAAAAACAAUAUGGUCUGGCCAUGGAGGCAUGGUAUCCGUAACAUCCCCCAAAGGAGCUAAAGAAGAAAUCCACAAUUUACCAUGAGCAUUUCUCGUCUGAAGAUUGCCAAGCGAUUCCUCCAGGACAUUCCUCAAGAUCAAUUUCUGUUCAUCCACCUUGUCCUGGGAGGGACAUCAAUGGGUUUCCAUGUCCUUUGGCUUCUGGUUGAGUUCACUCAGUGGAGAACCCUGGCAAGAGGCAGGAAAAGGGGAGGAAGGUGAAAACCAUCCAUUUCUUGGAGAAGUGCCACGGUGGGGUUGCAAGUCCCAGGAUCAAGUUUUCGAUGUGUCUCUUUUUCCCGUAAAGUGGCUGAAAUCUGAAGCUGAAUCUGCAAGUGUCAUGGAGUCAUUGAAUCUCACAGUCUCAACUGAUAAAAGUUAUUAAAGGUCGUCUGGUUCAG